rnacentral:rRNA from 1 species
CAUACCUAAAACGUUGCCUCGGCGGGAACAGACGGCCCCGUAACACGGGCCGCCCCCGCCAGAGGACCCCCUAACUCUGUUUCUAUAAUGUUUCUUCUGAGUAAACAAGCAAAUAAAUUAAAACUUUCAACAACGGAUCUCUUGGCUCUGGCAUCGAUGAAGAACGCAGCGAAAUGCGAUAAGUAAUGUGAAUUGCAGAAUUCAGUGAAUCAUCGAAUCUUUGAACGCACAUUGCGCCCGCCAGUAUUCUGGCGGGCAUGCCUGUUCGAGCGUCAUUACAACCCUCAGGCCCCCGGCCC